rnacentral:lncRNA from 1 species
UUCAUGAGGUAUUUGUAUUUCGCGCCACGCGAUUCCACGCAAGCGUCCCACCUUGCCCAGGGAGGUUAAAGUGUGUGAUGAGAGCCAUGAGAGUUUAAAAGAUUAAGGUCAAGAUGUUGGGGGGUUCGUAUUACUCGCAGUCGACAUUCCAAUUCAUCCCAAAGGUGUUCGAUGGGGUUGAGGUCAGGGCUCUGUGUAGGCCAGUCAAGUUCUUCCACACCGAUCUCGACAAACCAUUUCUGUAUGGACCUAGCUUUAUGCAAGGGAGCAUUGUCAUGCUGAAACAGGAAAGGGCCUUCCACAAACUGUUGCCACAAAGUUGGAAGAACAGAAUUGUCUAGAAUGUCAUUGUAUACUGUAGCAUUAAGAUUUCCCUUCACUGGAACUAAGGUGCCUAGCCCGAACCAUGAAAAACAGCCCCAUACCAUUAUCCCUCCUCCACCAAACUUUAUAGUUUGCACUACGCAUUGGGGCAGGUAGCGUUCUCCUGGCAUCCUCCAAACCCAGAUUUGUUUGUCGGACUGCCCGAUGGUGAAGCGUGAUUCAUCACUCCAGAGAAAGCGUUUCCACUGCUCCAGAGUCCAAUGGCAGCGAGCUUUAUACCACCCCAGCCGACGCUUGGCAUUGCACGUUGGGAUUUUAGGCUUGUGUGUGGCUACACGGCCAUGGAAACCCAUUUCAUGAAGCUCCCGAUGAACAGUUCUUGUGCUGACAUUGCUUCCAGAGGCAGUUUGGAACUUGGUAGGGAGUGUUGCAAGCGUGGACAGACGAUUUUUACGCGCUACGUGCAAUAGUCUGCUUCAGCACUCAGCGGUCCUGUUCUGUGAACUUGUGUGGCCUACCACCUUGCGGCUGAGCCGUUGUUGGUCCUAGAUGUUUCCACUUCACAAUAACAGCACUACAGUUGAUCAGGGCAGACCUCGCAGGGCAGAAAUUUGACGAACUGACUAUGCUACGUUGAAAGUGACUGAGCUCUUCAUUAAGGCCAUUCUACUGUCAAUGUUUGUAUAUGGAGAUUGCAUGG